UGGGGAAUAUUGCACAAUGGGCGCAAGCCUGAUGCAGCCAUGCCGCGUGUAUGAAGAAGGCCUUCGGGUUGUAAAGUACUUUCAGUCGGGAGGAAGGUGGUAAGGUUAAUAACCUUGGCAAUUGACGUUACCGACAGAAGAAGCACCGGCUAACUCCGUGCCAGCAGCCGCGGUAAUACGGAGGGUGCAAGCGUUAAUCGGAAUUACUGGGCGUAAAGCGCACGCAGGCGGUUGAUUGAGUCAGAUGUGAAAUCCCCGGGCUUAACCCGGGAAUUGCAUCUGAUACUGGUCAGCUAGAGUCUUGUAGAGGGGGGUAGAAUUCCAUGUGUAGCGGUGAAAUGCGUAGAGAUGUGGAGGAAUACCGGUGGCGAAGGCGGCCCCCAGGACAAAGACUGACGCUCAGGUGCGAAAGCGUGGGGAGCAAACAGG
rnacentral:rRNA from 1 species